GGAAGAACAAGUGCGAGAGUAACUGCUCGCACCUUGACGGUACCUAACCAGAAAGCCACGGCUAACUACGUGCCAGCAGCCGCGGUAAUACGUAGGUGGCAAGCGUUGUCCGGAAUUAUUGGGCGUAAAGGGCUCGCAGGCGGUUUCUUAAGUCUGAUGUGAAAGCCCCCGGCUCAACCGGGGAGGGUCAUUGGAAACUGGGAAACUUGAGUGCAGAAGAGGAGAGUGGAAUUCCACGUGUAGCGGUGAAAUGCGUAGAGAUGUGGAGGAACACCAGUGGCGAAGGCGACUCUCUGGUCUGUAACUGACGCUGAGGAGCGAAAGCGUGGGGAGCGAACAGGAUUAGAUACCCUGGUAGUCCACGCCGUAAACGAUGAGUGCUAAGUGUUAGGGGGUUUCCGCCCCUUAGUGCUGCAGCUAACGCAUUAAGCACUCCGCCUGGGGAGUACGGUCGCAAGACUGAAACUCAAAGGAAUUGACGGGGGCCCGCACAAGCGGUGGAGCAUGUGGUUUAAUUCGAAGCAACGCGAAGAACCUUACCAGGUCUUGACAUCCUCUGACAACCCUAGAGAUAGGGCUUUCCCUUCGGGGACAGAGUGACAGGUGGUGCAUGGUUGUCGUCAGCUCGUGUCGUGAGAUGUUGGGUUAAGUCCCGCAACGAGCGCAACCCUUGAUCUUAGUUGCCAGCAUUCAGUUGGGCACUCUAGGUGACUGCCGGUGACAAACCGGAGGAAGGUGGGGAUGACGUCAAAUCAUCAUGCCCCUUAUGACCUG
rnacentral:rRNA from 1 species